AUACGGAAGGUCCGGGCGUUAUCCGGAUUUAUUGGGUUUAAAGGGAGCGCAGGCGGAGAUGCAAGCGUGACGUCAAAUUUCGGGGCUCAACCCCGUCUCGCGUCGCGAACUGCGUCCCUUGGUUGCGGGAAGGGGAGGCGGAACUCGGGGUGUAGCGGUGAAAUGCAUAGAUAUCACGAAGAACUCCGAUCGCGAAGGCAGCCUUCCGGCCCGUCAACGACGCUCAUGCUCGAAGGUGCGGGUAUCAAAAAGGAUUAGAUACCCUGGUAGUCCGCACAGUAAACGAUGGACACCCGCGGUUUGGCCUGUAUGGCUGAGCCGCCAAGCGAAAGCGUUAAGUGUCCCACCUGGGGAGUACGCCGGCAACGGUGAAACUCAAAUGAAUUGACGGGG
rnacentral:rRNA from 1 species